GUUUGAUCCUCCUACAACAAUUUAAAAACAAUCAUCCAAAAUGCUAUGUGUGUAUGUUAUAUAAUGAAAGCUUGUGUCAAAUUUUGUAGCAUAUUUGAGUUAAGGAAUGUUUUUUUUUUUUUUAAUUAUACAGCUCUAUGACCUUUAGCCCAUAUGCACAUUUGCUGUAGACCAAAAGAUGGCUGCUGCUCCUCAAAACGUUCCUUAUUCAAGCACAAGUCAUAAAACUGAAAGACAAAACAAACACGAACAGUUGUGGGCGACUGACCUUGCCAAACUUUUAGGGAAAGUCAGCUGUAACAGUACUUGAUGUCAUUUCAACAAAACCCCUUUAAUUAGAAAAUAGCAGCCUAAGAAACUGGAUGGGGACAUGGAACGUGAGCUUUGUUUGUUAAACAUUUAUUUUUGUAUAUUAAGUAGCGCUAGUUAUCCUUUCAUAAUCGAAAGGAACGCUGACACGACAAAAGCACAAUUCCCUGGUGAAAAUUGAUGCUUCGGCACCAAAGGGUGAUGGGAAUGCUGGGAUACGCACCUUCGUCUAAGCUCUUGUUUGUGUCUGGCUAUCAUCAGUAUCAUUACAGUGCUAAUCUGGGUGUGGUUGGCAGGAAGAGACUCGGCCCAGUGUACCCAAAACAAAGACUGGAGCAGCGAACCCAGAGCUUCAGCAACUACAAAGCAGAAAUCUGUGCGGUUGAUGAGUUUACUUGAUUCAUGUCACAUCAAUGAUAUAUGGAGGCUUGGUUCCACAAAAAUGGGCCGUUGUUGGAGAAUGUUCUUCCAGGACCUGUGAGGAAUGGGGCGCUGUAGUGUCUUUCCGGCCCCAUGAAUUUAAGUGACAUCUCUAGUGAAAGGCCAUUUCAGUGCACAACCGUUUUGCAGAUUUCUGCAGCACAAGCAAAUGGAAACCACACUGAACAGACACCGAAAUAGAACACAAAGUUCAGGCGAAAGAAGAACUGUCAUUUGAAAAUCCUGACAAAGCAAGCUUUUAAACCUCUUCCCUGAAGCAGUCCAGUAACAUUUACACAGACAUACCAAAAACAGUCAUUGCCGGUGAAAAAAUAUGGAGGCUUAUUUUGGCCACCAGACCUUCUUGUCAAACAGUGAGCAUGUGCACAUCCUCUCUCUUGAGAAGUGCUGACGUAACAACGCGUUGACACUUCAUGUUCCAGCGACUGUCAGGCAUCGACAUUGGCUCAGUUUCCUUCCCAUUACUCAGAGAAACCUGAUCCCAGGUCAGGUGUUGAAGGGAGGAUGUCAACCAGGGAAUUUAACAUGUUGAGGAGAUCUUGGCAGGACAAAAGUGUGUUUUCGGGAUGCUAAAGCAUCAACACAGUCACCCUUCUGCUGUGCAACUUUUAUAUGGGACGAGAAAUUGGGCCACGUAUGUGUUGACAAGCUGUAAAGUGAGAUCCAAAAGCCUUUUCCCCAGUGUGGCUGUAGCUUUAUUAACAUUCCAGUUGCAUUCUGGGAAAGCGCCGUUAUUGAAGGCCACCCAUUAGUCGUGGAGGCAGGAGCCGAAGACUUUGCCAGUCUCAGCUGUUGCCUGGACACGGCGUCUCCCAAGCAGCGGAAGCGGAUAUCACGUGUGCUGGGGUUCGGUGUCGGACAUGAGAGGGAGAAUCGACUCAAUCCUCUUCCUGUUGAUUCCACUUAGGAUCCCCAAACUGCCUCUUCCCACGUUGACACAAAUACUUGGGUCCAUGUGACAUCCUGUGGAAGAGGCGAACAAUAACGAACUAGUACGUCAAGACCUGGGAACUGUGCUGUGAGAGACGUACCAUCACACCUCAAACACAUCAAGCCAGUUUCGCACUCAGCUCUUCGGGUGUUUAGUGUCUCGUCACCAAGGUUCAUUUCCUGCAAUACUGGAAAGGAAUGUGUCAGCGCAGAUUUUUUUUCUUUUUUUUUCUGUGAAUACUUCAGUGGCAGUAUAAAAACGAUUUUUUUUUACUUUGUAUAUAUUUUUUUAAAUAAAAAUGUUUUUCUUAGAACUUACUUUUUUUUUCUAGAAUGGCUAAAGAUAUUAAAUAAAAUAAUAAAACAUAUUAAACAAAUGCCAAGUAAUGAAUAAAUAAAGCCUUUGAUAUAAUAUCAUAUUUAUUUUUUUCUUAUAGUAAUUUAGGAAUAAUGUUGAUUGUCAGACCUCGAUAAAUGUAACACUACAAUUUGUUUAAGAAAUAAGAAAAUGCAAUGAGAUUAUUAACAUAUAUUAACAUCAUGUUGCAUAAAGGGUC